CCCAUCUUGUCGGAGUGCCGACCGUCGAACGACGCGAGGCUGAGACCGUUUAUUCGGGAUCCGUGGAACCUGAUCAGGUUAAUACCUGCGAAGGGAACAAGGGUAACCAGUGG
rfam:Aeromonas sp. RT39B genome assembly, contig: Ga0136726_107